GACGAACGCUGGCGGCGUGCUUAACACAUGCAAGUCGAACGGAAAGGCCCUGCUUGCAGGGUGCUCGAGUGGCGAACGGGUGAGUAACACGUGGGUGAUCUGCCCCUUACUUUGGGAUAAGCCUGGGAAACUGGGUCUAAUACUGGAUAGGACCAUGCUGUAGGUGGUGUGGUGGAAAGAUUAGUUUCGGUAAGGGUUGAGCUCGCGGCCUAUCAGCUUGUUGGUGGGGUAAUGGCCUACCAAGGCGUCGACGGGUAGCCGGCCUGAGAGGGUGGACGGCCACAUUGGGACUGAGAUACGGCCCAGACUCCUACGGGAGGCAGCAGUGGGGAAUAUUGCACAAUGGGCGCAAGCCUGAUGCAGCGACGCCGCGUGGGGGAUGACGGCCUUCGGGUUGUAAACUCCUUUCAGCCAUGACGAAGCCCCUGUGGUGACGGUAGUGGUAGAAGAAGCACCGGCUAACUACGUG
rnacentral:rRNA from 1 species